AGCUGCAUUACGUGAAACUGAUGCCUACAACACAGCUUUAGAAAAUGUAAACAAAGUUCUAAAGUAUCAACCAAACAAUACGAAAGCUCUGUACAGAAAAGGAUAUUGGAACGCAUUUAUUUUAUUAUAGGAUGACGAUAAUGAAGAGAAAAACUCUGACGUAGACGUAGACGAUGUCGAUAUGGCGGAGGAUAAUAAGGACUAUUCUAUGUGAACCUCAAACAUUUAUCAAAAUUGCGGGCUACAUUUUUCCCGCAGCGUGGCAACUCGGUUGGCGAGGCGCAUCGUGUCGA